rfam:Gasterosteus aculeatus cont1.005124, whole genome shotgun sequence.
GGCUCUGUGGCUUAGUUGGUUAAAGCGCCUGUUUAGUAAACAGGAGACCCUGGGUUCAAAUCCCAGCAGGGCCU